rnacentral:rRNA from 1 species
AACGAACGCUGGCGGCAUGCCUAACACAUGCAAGUCGAACGAGACCAUCGGGUCUAGUGGCGCUUGGGUGCGUAACGCGUGGGAACCUGCCCUUAGGUUCGGAAUAACACCCUGAAGGGGGUGCUAAUAUCGGAUAAUUUCCUCGGACCACAGAUUCAACGCCCUUGGAUGGGCCCGCGUUGGAUUAGCUUGUUGGUAGGGUAAAAGCCUAUCAAGGCUACGAUCCAUAGCUGGUCUGAGAGGAUGAGCAGCCACACUGAGACUGGGACGCGGCGCAGACUACUGCAGGAGGGGGCAGUGGGUGAUACAGCAAAAUGGGGGGGAGCAAGAACGAGCAAGGCCGGGUGAGUGAUGAAGGCCUGAAGGUAGUAAAGCUCUUUAACCCGGGAUGAUAAUGACGGUACCGGGAGAAUAAGCACCGGCUAACUCCGUG